rnacentral:rRNA from 1 species
UACGGAGGGUGCAAGCGUUAAUCGGAAUUACUGGGCGUAAAGCGCACGCAGGUGGCUGAGUCAGUCGAUUGUGAAAUCCCCGAGCUUAACUUGGGAAUUGCGCUCGAAACUACGUGGCUCGAGUGUGGCAGAGGAAGGUGGAAUUCCACGUGUAGCGGUGAAAUGCGUAGAGAUGUGGAGGAACACCGAUGGCGAAGGCAGCCUUCUGGGCCAACACUGACGCUCAUGCACGAAAGCGUGGGGAGCAAACAGG